rnacentral:rRNA from 1 species
GAUGAACGCUAGCGGCAGGCUUAAUACAUGCAAGUCGAGGGACAGCACAGGUAGCAAUACUGGGUGGUAACCGGCAAGCGGGUGCGGAACACGUACACAACCUUCCUUUAAGUGGGGGAUAGCCCAGAGAAAUUUGGAUUAAUACCCCGUAAUAUAGUUGAAUGGCAUCAUUUGAUUAUUAUAGCUACGGCGCUUAAUGAUGGGUGUGCGGCUGAUUAGAUAGUUGGCGGGGUAACGGCCCACCAAGUCUACGAUCAGUAACUGAUGUGAGAGCAUGAUCAGCCACACGGGCACUGAGACACGGGCCCGACUCCUACGGGAGGCAGCAGUAAGGAAUAUUGGUCAAUGAACGCAAGUCUGAACCAGCCAUGCCGCGUGAAGGAUUAAGGUCCUCUGGAUUGUAAACUUCUUUUAUUUGGGACGAAAAAGGGCCUUUCUAGGUCAACUGACGGUACCAGAUGAAUAAGCACCGGCUAACUCCGUGCCAGCAGCCGCCGUAAAAC